UACGGAGGGGCUAGCGUUGUUCGGAAUUACUGGGCGUAAAGCGCGCGUAGGCGGACCUGCAAGUCGGGGGUGAAAGCCCGAGGCUCAACCUCGGAACUGCCUUCGAUACUGCGGGUCUCGAGUCCGGGAGAGGUGAGUGGAAUUCCUAGUGUAGAGGUGAAAUUCGUAGAUAAUUGGGAAGAACACCGAUGGCGAAGGCAGCCAUCUGGACCGACACUGACGCUGAGGCGCGAAAGCGUGGGGAGCAACAGGGAUUAAGAAACCCUGAGUAGUCC
rnacentral:rRNA from 1 species